rnacentral:rRNA from 1 species
GAAAGCCUGUCUCAUUCGGAUUGGAGUCUGCAACUCGACUCCAUGAAGCUGGAUUCGCUAGUAAUCGCGCAUCAGCCAUGGCGCGGUGAAUACGUUCCCGGGCCUUGUACACACCGCCCGUCAAGCCAUGGGAGCCGGGGGUGCCUGAAGUACGUGACCGCGAGGAGCGUCCUAGGGCAAAACUGGUGACUGGGGCUAAGUCGUAACAAGGUAAC